GGAAUAUUGGACAAUGGGGGAAACCCUGAUCCAGCGACGCCGCGUGAGUGAAGAAGUAUUUCGGUAUGUAAAGCUCUAUCAGCAGGGAAGAUAAUGACAGUACCUGACUAAGAAGCACCGGCUAAAUACGUGCCAGCAGCCGCGGUAAUACGUAUGGUGCAAGCGUUAUCCGGAUUUACUGGGUGUAAAGGGAGCGUAGACGGCAGCGCAAGUCUGGAGUGAAAUGCCGGGGCCCAACCCCGGAACUGCUUUGGAAACUGUGCGGCUCGAGUGCGGGAGAGGUAGGCGGAAUUCCUAGUGUAGCGGUGAAAUGCGUAGAUAUUAGGAGGAACACCAGUGGCGAAGGCGGCUUACUGGACGAUAACUGACGCUGAGGCUCGAAAGCGUGGGGAGCAAAC
rnacentral:rRNA from 1 species